AUACGUAGGGGGCGAGCGUUGUCCGGAAUGAUUGGGCGUAAAGGGCGCGUAGGCGGCGCGGUAAGUCUGGAGUGAAAGUCCUGCUUUCAAGGUGGGAAUUGCUUUGGAUACUGCCGCGCUUGAGUGCAGGAGAGGUUAUCGGAAUUCCCGGUGUAGCGGUGAAAUGCGUAGAGAUCGGGAGGAACACCAGUGGCGAAGGCGGGUAACUGGACUGCAACUGACGCUGAGGCGCGAAAGUGUGGGGAGCAAACAGGAUUAGAUACCCUGGUAGUCCACACUGUAAACGAUGAAUGCUAGGUGUAAGAGGUAUCGACCCCUUUUGUGCCGGAGUCAACACAAUAAGCAUUCCGCCUUGGGAGUACGGCCGCAAGGUUGAAACUCAAAUGAAUUGACGGGG
rnacentral:rRNA from 1 species